AGCGAAGGCUAACGAGUUUCAGGUGUGCGGUGUUUGGUCAGGUGUGCGGUACUGAGCGCUGGAAUACCUGUGGGAGGUGUUUGGUCAGGUGUGCGGUACUGAGCGCUGGAAUACCUGUGGGAGGUGUUAGGUCAGGUGUGCAGUACUGAGCGCUGGAACACCUGUGGGAGGUGUUUGGUCAGGUGUGCGGUACUGAGCGCUGGAAUACCUAUAGUAGGUGUUUGGUCAAGUGUGCGGUACUGAGCGCUGGAACACCUAUAGGAGGUGUUUGGUCAGGUGUGCGGUACUGAGCGCUGGAAUACUUGUGGAAGGUGUUUGGUCAAGUGUGCGGUACUAAGCACUGGAACACCUGUGGGAGGUGUUUGGUCAGGUGUGCGGUACUGAGCGCUGGAACACCUGUAG